AGUUGUUACCUCCAUACAAGUGAUACAUGUGCUUUUAAAUAGUGAAACUACCAAACAGAAACUCCAUAUUCAGAUUUUUCCUGGCUGCAGAAGGAAACCGCCUCAGGUCAAUUGGCAACUUCAUCCUUCCAUAAUCAAUAUAUCUACAUCUACAAGAUAGUUUCACGCAUCAUAACAGAAAAUGGAAAAAAAAUUGGCACUUGCCAUGAAGAGUAACCUUCCAGACCAACUGUUAGAUAUGAUAUUAUUUGGCUUCUCCGGUAGAAUUAGCCCAAUGUUGCUUCAAGCCUAACGCCUGCACGUUGAUGUCUAGAUGCAUCCACAGGACAGCCUACAAGUCGCUAUGAGCGAAAUGGGCUUCACCAUUUCACAUUUUGUUUGAUGCCAUAAAUUUGCCUUUUCUCUCAGCAGGUUUAAGAAUUUGAAAAGAACACAUCAAAGUUUCAUCAACACUCAUCAUUGCACCUGCAUUAUCAAAUUCACCACAAUAGUUUGGAGCUGAGAAUAUGGUGACAAGUUGUCUGUCGGCAAAGAACUCAUAUCCAUCCUCAACAACCUGACAUCACAUGAAAUAUAAAUAUGAUCACCUCAGAAUUCUGAAACUUUGUCAGCACCAAAAGUGUAUGAGACCCCCCUAUCAUUCAUGCCCCAACCUUGAACGUCUUUUCCUGGAUCUGACCAAAGUAGGUCGCAUAGCAGACCU
rnacentral:sRNA from 1 species